rnacentral:rRNA from 1 species
GACGAACGCUGGCGGCGUGCUUAACACAUGCAAGUCGAACGGAAAGGCCCUGCUGUUGUGGGGUGCUCGAGGAACGAACGGGUGAGUAACACGUGAGUAACCUGCCCUUGGCUUUGGGAUAACGUCAGGAAACUGGGGCUAAUACCGGAUAGGAGCUCCUGCUGCAUGGAGGGGGUUGGAAAGUUUCGGCGGAUGGGGAUGGGCUCGCGGCUUAUCAGCGUGUUGGUGGGGCAGUGGCUUACCAAGGCUUUGACCGGUUGCCGGCCUGAGAGGGUGAACGGCGACAUGGGUCCUGAGAGACGGCGCAGUCUGCUAUGGGAGGCAGCAGUGGGGAAUAUUGCACAAUGGGCGGACGCCUGAUGCAGCAACGCCGCGUGCGGGAUCACGGCCUGCGGGUUGUAAACCGCUUUCGCCUGUGACGAAGCGUGCGUGACGGUAAUGGGUAAAGAAGCACCGGCUAACUACGUG